GACAGAGGAUGCAAGCGUUAUCCGGAAUGAUUGGGCGUAAAGCGUCUGUAGGUGGCUUUUAAGUCCGCCGUCAAAUCCCAGGCUCAACCCUGGACAGGCGGUGGAAACUACCAAGCUGGAGUGACGGUAGGGGCAGAGGGAAUUUCCGGUGGAGCGGUGAAAUGACGUAGAGAUCGGAAAGAACACCACGGCGAAAGCACUCUGACUGGGCCGACACUGACACUGAGAGACGAAAGCUAGGGGAGCGAAUGGGAUUAGAACUACCGUAGUC
rnacentral:rRNA from 1 species